GAUCUCUUAGGUUGCAGUUCAGUCCAUUUUAUUUAUCCUAAAGAUGGGAAUCUAGACUGAGAAGAACUAGUCCAGGCUUACAGAAAGGAUGAGAUGGGAAGGGACAUCUGAAGAUUGUGUAGUCCAACCUCCCUACUUAAAGAAGAGUCAUCUAAGGCAGUGUGGCUGCAUGAUGGUGAUCUCCCCUUGAGCUAGGAUGCUUCCCAAGUUUUGAGAUUCCUUGCCUGAGACUGAGAGAUCCUUUCUUAUCC